UAUACAUUUACGUCUAAAAGAAGGAAUGUGGUCCCCAUUUUUAUCUCUUUGUUUGUGUGGUGAUGUGUUUCCCACAGACGAUUGAUACGUAAGCAGAGUGUGACACUUAAGGGGCCCAUCCUUAAGGUCCUUAAAUCAAAGUAUGUUGUGGGUGUAGGUGUGUACAGCGUUCCUGGGAAGAGGUUUUAUUAGAGUAGAUUCUAAGCCGGCAGACAGUAGUAUAUAAUUUUGUUUUUGUGAGAUGCGAGAUCCUUUUUUUUACCUGUUUGUAUGUCGUUCUUAUGAUGUAUUGGGAGAUCAACGUUUCUGAAGCUGGAGAUUGGCAUCCCUUUGUUUGCUAUUUUCUGGAAUUUUUUGUUAAUGUCAGUCUUUAGUUUUCUUCUGCUUCUGUUUUUGGUUGAUGAACGUUUGCUUUAUUUAUAUGUCUUCGUGUUAUGUGAAGCUAUUAUUAAUGAGUUUAAGAACCGAUCUCCGUGAUUGUUUCUGAUUGAUUUGUGUUUUUUUUUUUGGGAGGCAAAUAUUGGGUUUUUGAUUUUUCAUGUUUCUCAUAAUUUUCACUAUAUUUAAAUGGCAUAGAAAGGGAUCUUUGUGAAGCUAUUAUUAAUGAGUUUAAGAACCGAGUGAUUGUUUCUGAUUGAUUUGUGUUCUUUUUUGGGAGGCAAAUAUUGAGUUUUUGAUUUUUCAUGUUUCUCAUGAUUUUCACUAUAUUUAAAUGACAUAGAAAGGGAUAUUUGUUUCCCAUAUUUGUUUAAUUUGUAUUGUAGAUUGUUUAGAUUCUGAAUUUGGUAGGUACUUUAUACAGCUAAAGGAAAUGCAUGCCUUUUUGUUAAUUAGUAGAUCCUAUAUAUUGGGUGACCACUAUCACAGCUGGUACGAAUCAUUGUACGGUAAUGGGUAUAUUACGUUCAUUUGUUUUGUGGGGGUGUUAAUAAGAUUUUAUGUAUAAGUCAUUUGUGGGUUUCAUUUGGGCCACCGAUAAUUGCUUGUAUAAGUAUUAAUAAGUUUUGUUGACUUAUUAGUGGUGCUGACGUGGCAUCCUCCCAGAACAUAUUAUUUUGGCUGAUGUGGAUACCCUGAGGAACCUCAAACUUCUCCUUUUAUUAUAGUAGAUUCAAAGAUUGUCUACUACCACUGUUUUUUUAGUGAUUCAAAAAAGGAAUGAUUUUUGAAUGGUAAAUGAAAAAUAGAAUAAACUGAAAAGGUCAAGAAAGCAAUAGUAUUUUAUUUUAUUUUUUGGGAAGAGAAAGCGUGGAUAGAAAAUAGAGAAGAUAAAUGUGUAAAGAGAAAAGUAGAGCAAAAAGCAUCUCCUUUAUAUAAAAGGGAUUGAUUUUCUGGUCUCUUAGUUAUGAUUUCCUGGUCUCUCAGCUAUACCACAUCAGCAAAAAUAAUCAACAAAAUAAUCAGCCAAUGAGAACAUUUGAAAGUCACGCAUAACUAAGAAAACUUUAAUUACGUUAAAAGAGUGAUUGCAGAAUUAUGAAAUCAGGCCACUCAACACAGUAACACAGAAAAUUGAAUAGAAAGAAGCUCAUUAGAUAGAGACCCAAAACAUUAGCCCAAAACGAAAUCCAGAAUACAUUUGAGCUUCCCCACCUUUCUCUGCUUUCCUCAUACCCUAAAUUCACCGCAACAGUUUCCCCUCAAACGAUUCAUCUUCAUCCUAUCUCCAAAUCAGAUUCAACGAAAGGAAAGCUCAAACCAUAAGUCGUUACAAAAUACCUUCAAACUUAAUUUCUCUAACAAAGUAACUUCACACUUAAAUCACCCUUCAAACCUAAAUCCACGAUGGAGAAUCUCAAACAUCAAUCGUUCCUAAUAACUUCCACAUCACCGCCACUUCUCCAUCCUCUUUAUAUAAAUUCUGAUCCUUCCACCAAUACAAUUUACAACUCAUUUCUACCCAUCAUAUACUAUCACAGCCAUGGCAUCCUCUGAACCUGUUGGAGUAGUUAGAAAAACAAAGAGGUAAUCGAACAGACAUGAUGGCCAAUGAUCUGUUUUGUGUUUUGAAUUUUUUGAUAUAUUAUCUUCUUUAUAAAUUGCACCGAGCAUUAUUCAUCCGAACUUAAAAUAUUGUCAUCGCAAUUUCUUCACAUAAUUGUCAACACUUUUUUUGUCUAGUUUCGAAAACCCAAUCGGCAACUGUCAACACAAAUCCAGAAGACCAAUUCCAAGGCUUUCCCUCUUUGUAGUCUUAAUUAUUUUUGGAUCUGUGCUAUUCGAUCAAGCUAUUGAAAGGUCAAAAAUCGUUUUUUCGUCUUCUCAUCUUCUAAUCUUACAGAUUCAUUGGCGUCUCUUUGAGACAGAAAUGAGGCCAAAGAUUCUAUGUCUGACCUUAUUUUUAAUUUGAAGCAGUAUUAUCUUCACCCAUAAUCUGUUAUUACGAGUCCUCUUUACCUACGGGUAAGUUGAAAACAGGCGGCUACGAUUCAGUAGCUAGGUUAUUGGCUUUAAUUUCUUUACAGAAUUGAACAAUAUUGUCAUCUAUUACUCUACUUUGGAAUCAAAUUAUCAACCGUCAAAGUAAAUCUGAAUAUGUUCCUUACUUAUUUAUGCAGGUUUUCCAUAUCAGAUUGUUCUCAUGGUGCUUCAAAUCUCUACAGUACAACUAAGUCACUGCUAUAAUCAAAGAGUUCUGCUUUAAAUCUCUGAUCAUUAUAUCUUCUAGCCAGUUUCCAAUCUCUGGAGAGGCAGCAAAGCAAGAGCACGUGAUGAACGAUGGAACCAGCGGACGCCAUCUAGGUCUGCGGUUAGAUAUUUGGAUCUAUGAUGAUUUAUUUCAGUUUUAAUCUUUUCCAUGUCUCUGUUUUAGGUGAUUUAAUUUCUCAUUACAUUUGGUCGGUAAUGCAGUAGGAAAGACAAACUACCCUAUUAAAUUCAUUGGUUAUACUAACCUAUAUGGUUUUCUAUUACCAUAUGCCCUUAGAAGCUGCUAAGAAGAUGUAAGAUUUCGUCUACAAAACGUGUAAGGUGGAUUUUCUUAUUUGGUUUUAGC
rnacentral:lncRNA from 1 species